rnacentral:rRNA from 1 species
UACGGGGGGAGCAAGCGUUGUUCGGAUUUACUGGGCGUAAAGGGUGCGUAGGCGGCGCGGUAAGUCGGGUGUGAAAUCUCGGAGCUUAACUCCGAAACUGCAUUCGAUACUGCGGUGCUUGAGGACUGGAGAGGAGACUGGAAUUCAUGGUGUAGCAGUGAAAUGCGUAGAGAUCAUGAGGAAGACCAGUGGCGAAGGCGGGUCUCUGGACAGUUCCUGACACUGAGACACGAAGGCCAGGGGAGCAAACGGG